CUCACUAUGUGAUGCGUGGUCUUGUUUUUUAUUUGUUUCCUGUGUCUGAGUCUUUUUUCUUCCCUAAGAUUCAAUUGAUUGAACUAACAUAUAUUGAAAACCUUCUGUGCAGGGCACAGUGGGGCUUCUGAGUUAGAGAAGGAAAAGUCCCUUCCCCUAUGGAACUAGGAAACAAUAAGCCAUGGACAUGGAGCAUGAUACAAAGCAGUGUGUGAAUGGGCAGGAGAGGGAUAAAAAAGUCCACAGAGAAGGACCCCAAGAUUGCAAGAUUUCUGAGGAUGGGGAAACUGAAGUCAAGAAAGGGGAAGUGAAAAUGCCAAGGCCACGCUAUGCCAACGAAUGCUGCAGAAAGGGAAAAGGAGCUGGGAAAAGGAGUUGUGAGUGGAAAAAGUUUAAGAAGCCCUGAUUUAGAUCUUUCAGUCACAAGUUUCAGAAGCGGGUGAUAUAACCAGGUGCAGUGAGUGGAGUCUCUGAAAUUGGCAGUUUCAAAGACUGAGAACAUAAGCCACAGGAAUCCCAGAGUCAAAGAAUCUGGGAUAGGUAUUAUAGCCAGCCAAUCACUGAAACCUCAUGGGGCAGAGUGUGAUCAUCGAGAGUGACCUUCAGGAUUCUAGGCAAGCAGAAGACUGCUAUGAUAUUGCCUUUGGACAUGAACUUGGUGAGAUCAAGUCUGUAAAGGAGCCAAGCCUCAUCUCCCUCUCUGCUCAGACCAAGAUGAUAUAAGGGUAUUAUACCCCUUGGGUUUUGGGGGAAAUGUUUGUAUACUUGUUCUCGCUAUAUCUGUAAAAUAAAUGUAAAAGCAGCCUGGUAUUAAGUGGUUAAAUGAAAUUGUAGUCCUAGUCACUGGCUCUUAAAAAUAAACCCAAGGGAACAUAGAUGGUAGGGAAUUGAACUUAUGACAAAGGAAAGAGACACACUCCAACCCCUUAGAGUACCUGAGAACCCUGAGGCAGAGACGUAACAAGCCUAUCCCUGAGAGAGUGGGGUCAGAGCAUCUGUUACGCUUGUAUCCCCUGGGCUUGGUGUAUGUUGUCAUUCAGUUGUUUUUCAGUUGUGUCUGACUCUUCAUGGCCCCUUUUGGGAUU